AGGAUAGAGGCCUACCAUGGUGGUAACGGGUAACGGGGUGUUAGGGCACGACACCGGAGAGGGAGCCUGAGAAACGGCUACCACAUCCAAGGAUGGCAGCAGGCGCGCAAAUUACCCAAUCCCGACACGGGGAGGUAGUGACAAUAAAUAACAAUACGGGGUUCUUUAGGAUCUCGUAAUUGGAAUGAGUACAAUUUAAAUCUCUUAACGAGGAACAAUUGGAGGGCAAGUCUGGUGCCAGCAGCCGCGGUAAUUCCAGCUCCAAUAGCGUAUAUUAAAGUUGUUGCAGUUAAAAAGCUCGUAGUUGAAUUUCGGGGUUAGUAGGUUGGUCAUGCCUCUGGAAUGUACUGGUCUCACUGAUUCCUCCUUCCUUAUGAACCGUAAUGCCAUUAAUUUGGUGUUGCGGGGAAUUUGGACUGUUACUUUGAAAAAAUUAGAGUGUUUAAAGCAAGCUAACGCUUGAAUACAUUAGCAUGGAAUAAUGAAAUAGGAGUUCGAUCUUAUUUUGUUGGUUUCCAGGAUUGACGUAAUGAUUAAUAGGGAUAGUUGGGGGCAUUAGUAUUCAAUUGUCAGAGGUGAAAUUCUUGGAUUUAUUGAAGACUAACUACUGCGAAAGCAUUUGCCAAGGAUGUUUUCAUUAAUCAAGAACGAAAGUUAGGGGAUCGAAGACGAUCAGAUACCGUCGUAGUCUUAACCAUAAACUAUGCCGACUAGGGAUCGGAUGAUGU
rnacentral:rRNA from 1 species